rnacentral:ncRNA from 1 species
CUCUGUUUCGAUGAAGAUACAGGGCGGAAGGAG